GAUGAACGCUGGCGGCGUGCCUAAUACAUGCAAGUCGAGCGAACAGACGAGGAGCUUGCUCCUCUGACGUUAGCGGCGGACGGGUGAGUAACACGUGGAUAACCUACCUAUAAGACUGGGAUAACUUCGGGAAACCGGAGCUAAUACCGGAUAAUAUAUUGAACCGCAUGGUUCAAUAGUGAAAGACGGUUUUGCUGUCACUUAUAGAUGGAUCCGCGCCGCAUUAGCUAGUUGGUAAGGUAACGGCUUACCAAGGCAACGAUGCGUAGCCGACCUGAGAGGGUGAUCGGCCACACUGGAACUGAGACACGGUCCAGACUCCGACGGGAGGCAGCAGUAGGGAAUCUUCCGCAAUGGGCGAAAGCCUGACGGAGCAACGCCGCGUGAGUGAUGAAGGUCUUCGGAUCGUAAAACGCUGUUAUUAGGGAAGAACAAAUGUGUAAGUAACUAUGCACGUCUUGACGGUACCUAAUCAGAAAGCCACGGCGAACUACGU
rnacentral:rRNA from 1 species